UAUGAUAGAUUAAACAAUUAAAAGUAUUUAUUGUAAAGUGAAUAUUUGAAAGGACGAGCUGAUGGAUGUUUCCUUUAGAGAUGAUGUUGACCAGGGUUACAUGAUUACUAUCGAUGUUUCGUUUAUUGGAUUAAGAGGAUUACUCGCAGACUUCUUGGUGUUUAACGCGAUAAAUGCUUAUGUCCGUUGAAACUAGAGAAGCAUUUUGAGCCGAUCAUGAAUUGCAAGAAAGGGAAUAUAGAAUAUCAUCACUCUGAUAGUGAUGAAAAUGGCACUCCUCAGAUAAAGAAAUUGAAAUCUACUUCUCGCGAAAGAAAUGUUCCGCAAGAAAUAUUAAACGAUGAGAAAUAGUCAUCGUAGUUGGUACUGUGUGAAAAGAAUGCAAGGAGAGGCUAUUGCAAACUCGGUAAUUGUGAGAUUGUUAAUUGCUUUAACAAUAGAGAAUGACAAAAACAAAUUAAAAACAAAAAAAAACUGAUGACAGUUAAGAAUGUUAUUCGCUGUUUCAUUUACUAAUAAACUAUGUAAAGAGUA